AUUGAACGCUAGCGGGAUGCCUUACACAUGCAAGUCGAACGGAGUGGCGAACGGGUGAGUAAUGUAACGGAACGUGCCCAGUAGCGGGGGAUAACUACGCGAAAGCGUAGCUAAUACCGCAUACUAUUGGAGCGGCCGAUAUCGGAUUAGCUAGUUGGGGGGGGAACGGCUCACAAAGGCGGCGAUCCGGAGCCGGUUUGAGAGGGCGACCAGCCACCUGGGGACGGAGACACGGCCCAGACUCCUACGGGAGGCAGCAGUGGGGAAUUUGGGACAAUGGGGGAAACCCUGAGCCAGCCAUCCCGCGUGUGCGAUGAAGGCCUUCGGGUUGUAAAGCACUUUUGGCAGGAAAGCGGUACCUGCAGAAUAAGCACCGGCUAACUACGUGCCAGCAGCCGCGGUAAUAC
rnacentral:rRNA from 1 species